UACGAAGGGAGCUAGCGUUGUUCGGAAUUACUGGGCGUAAAGGGCGCGUAGGUGGCUUGGCAAGUUGGGUGUGAAAGCCCAGGGCUCAACCCUGGAAUUGCACUCAAGACUGCCUUGCUUGAAUUCGGUAGAGGUUGGUGGAAUUCCCAGUGUAGAGGUGAAAUUCGUAGAGAUUGGGAAGAACACCCGUGGCGAAGGCGGCCAACUGGACCGACAUUGACACUGAGGCGCGAAAGCGUGGGGAUCAAACAGG
rnacentral:rRNA from 1 species